rnacentral:rRNA from 1 species
UACGAAGGGGGCUAGCGUUGCUCGGAAUUACUGGGCGUAAAGCGCACGUAGGCGGAUUGUUAAGUCGGGGGUGAAAUCCUGGAGCUCAACUCCAGAACUGCCUUCGAUACUGGAAAGCUCGAGUCCGGGAGAGGUGAGUGGAACUGCGAGUGUAGAGGUGAAAUUCGUAGAUAUUCGCAAGAACACCAGUGGCGAAGGCGGCUCACUGGGCCGGACCUGACGCUGAGACGCGAAGGCGUGGGGAGCGAACGGG